GACGGAGGAUGCAAGCGUUAUCCGGAAUGAUUGGGCGUAAAGCGUCCGCAGGUGGCAGUUCAAGUCUGCUGUCAAAGACCGGGGCUUAACUUCGGAAAGGCAGUGGAAACUGAACAGCUAGAGUAUGGUAGGGGCAGAGGGAAUUCCUGGUGUAGCGGUGAAAUGCGUAGAGAUCAGGAAGAACAUCGGUGGCGAAGGCGCUCUGCUGGACCAUAACUGACGCUGAGACGCGAAAGCGUGGGGAGCGAACAGG
rnacentral:rRNA from 1 species